rnacentral:lncRNA from 1 species
CACCUGAACUUUCACAGCCGCCAACUCUCUCUCUAGCCUCUCUAUCUCUCUCUCCCUCUCCACUUCCUGCGUUUUCAAAAGAAAAAGCAGCAUUAAAAUUAAUUUAUUUCUCAAUCAAAACUAGUUACCACACAACUUACUUUGUCAUUUGUUGGACUGUUUUUCCUUUGCUCAUUGCUCUGUCCGAAAAAAGUGAUUGCACUUUGAACUGAUUCAAUUGGAUUUGUAUCGAUCUCCCCCAUUGCUAAUUAUAUCCACCAACACAAAAGGAAAUCAAUGUGCUACACUUGGAAAAAAAUAAUAUCAUAUAUGAUGAUUAAUAUUCUAAUCCAUUAACACGAGCAAUUACAGAAAGAUGGGAUAUUGAACUUACUCAAAAUGAAGGAGAAUGCAGAAGGAGGUAGCUACGAGGAUUACGGAGAGGUAUUAGAAAGGGUUUGUUGUGAAAUUUAGUAC